UGGGUCGUGGUGAAGUGCUACUGUUUUUGGGCAACCAUGUGCUCUUUACUUGAAUGAGAGCACAAACAAGCAUGGUUUUGUGAAAUUUGGCCAUUCAGUUCAGUUUAGGUUCUAGUUGAUCAAUCAGUUUUUUCAUGCAUUUCAGAGAUAUACUCCCUGGGUUGGCAUUUAUUUUGUUCAAUGCACCUGCAAUUUCUGUAUGCAUGCUCAUUUACAUUCAGCAGCCAAAGCAGGCAUUAUGACUUGCAAAUCAUUUUAUUCUUGGAAGGACAUGCUCACAAAUUGUCAAUAGCAGGUGCUAUCCUCUUUAAUUAACAACACCUGUUAUAUGCUUUCAAAUUGACAACCUUAUAUCACAACAGUUCAAUUCAGUGCAUUUCUAUCAGUUCUGUCCGAUUUUGCACACACACUCUGUUUACUGGAACAAUUCUUCAGCCAAAACAAACAUUCAAGAAAGCAGGAACAUUUUCCAUACAAAUCUGUUCAACUCUGCACAUGUACAAGUACCACUCAAGUCGGACCAAUUCUGCAAAUGUAGAAGUACAAACUAGAACAGUAAUUCAAUCAUAACAUUCAUUCAAAAUGCUGCUGUAGCUUCUCUCUUUUUACUCUGAAAACAUUCGUACAUCAAGACACAAUACAAGCAGCAGAGCAGAUGGCCCGCAGAAGCCUUGACGAGGCUGGCUUCGUGGCCUCGGCAGCUCGGCGGCGUCUACGGCGCCGGCUCAGCAGCUCCACGGCCUCGACGGCGCCGGCUCCGCAGCUCCACGGCCUCGAUAACUCCGACGCAUCGCGCCCUGGACGAGGCAGCUGCUGGCUCCGCUGCCUCCACUGCUAGGCGCCCUGACACCUGGACGAAGCGGGGUUUGUCUGCCGCCUCCACGGCUAGGCGGCGUCCCGUCCUCCCGGAGCUGCUCCUCCCCGCCGGCGAACCCUAAGGCGAGGCGAGAGUUCCUUUUUUUUAACGAGACGAGAGCUCAGGCGACGAAUCGAUGGGUGUCGUCCUGUUGGGCCGGAUGGGCUGCUUGUGUUCGUGUGGACACGAACGAAAGAGAAGGAAAGAGCGCACCUCACACGAGUCGUCAGAUCGCCAACGGACGGCGCAACGCGUACUACUUCCCUCGGCAGUAGAUCGAUCUAAGUCAGAGGAUCUCGUUCCCUUCGCAGGCCGCCGCAACCAACAGCGGAAGGCAUUCUUCCACUCUCCCCUGAAUCAUCAAAAAGAAAAGAAACGAGACCUUCCUCUCGAGACGAACCCUAGAUCCGAACUGACCUUCCGUCAGCUUCCUGUUCCGUGCGACAUGGAAGCUCGUCGGCGUCUUCAUCCGCCACCCGGUGCGGAGCUCUCCCGCCCUCACCCUCGCUGGGUGAUGCUAGAUCGCUUCGUCCACUACAAGGCGUACGCUGGUGAGGCUGUUGCGGAGGAGGUAAUGGACGGCACGCAAUCGGCGAUCUCCUCCACCUGCACCAACAUAAGCAUCGCCGUCUCUCUCAGGGUUGCUGAACCGCCCGCUGUGUCCCGUCUCUACCUCCACUGGCCCGAGUGAUUCAUGACGGCGUCGUUGAGCCAGGUGCUUUUGAUGGUCUUUUCUCAGUUGAGAUUCACCACAAAGGCUUAUUUUGUGGAACUGAAAGCAAUAGCACAUACAUGGAUUAUGAAGUUGCUUGGUUUGACAAUUGUGAUAGUGAUACUUUGUCCAUUUUAUGGAUCAAUGAUUUUCUGCAGUAGCUCGGGUACGACAGAGUGAGUGUGAAGCUUGAUGUGUUUUGGUGUCAGACGGGAAAGACAUUGGGUGAUGGAUUGAGAGAGAUAAAGUGUGAUGCAGACAUCCUUGCAAUGAUAGCAACAACUACAGAGCACAAGAAUUUGUUGCUGAUUGUAGACCAUGGAGGGACACCUGAACCGCCAAAGGUCAUUACUCCAGGAAAUGAAAGCAAGGGCAAAGAGAAAACUAUCCAGGAUGAGGAAAGAAGUGUGCCAAAGAAUAGGAGGGGAAGGAUCACCCUCAGGUUGUGGUGAUGAAGAAAUGGAGGAAGAAGGUGGAGUAGAUGCAGAAGCAGCAGAUUCAGAGACUGAUGAGGAUUUCUAUGAUAGUGACUGUGAUGUGGAGGAUGGGGACGAUGAUUUAUUUGAGACAAAUAUAGAUAAAGAAGUGGAUGAUCACAGAGAGAAGGAUACACCAUGUGACUAUGAAGCAGAGCUAGCAGAGGAUGCUCUAGACGAUUCCCACCUUGAAUUGUCCAAAGAAGAGAGGGACAAGUUGAAGUACCAUUUCAAGGCAUUUAAUGCAGAAAUAGAUUUAAAUGCCCCCUGUUUUUAGACUUGGCAUGGUGUUUGGUAAUGUGCAGGAGCUAAGACAUGCUAUAACAUCAUAUAGCAUCAGGAACAGGGUUCAAGUGAAGAAGACAAGGAAUACUUCUACUAGAGUUGUAGCUCAAUGCUCUGGUGAUUGCCCAUGGUAUCUUCAGGCAAGCAAGGACAACAGAACUUCUAGUUUUGUCAUAAAGAAGUUCUUUGAUGAGCA